GGAAGUAAAAGUCUAACAAGGUUUCCGUAGGUGAACCUGCGGAAGGAUCAUUAUCGUACAAAAUGUGAGGGGCAUGCGAGGGCUGUCGCUGACCCAAAAGUCGUGCACGCCCGAGUGUGUCCUCUUGCAUAAUAAUCCAUCUCACCCUUUGUGCAUCACCGCGUGGGCACCCUUCGGGAUCAUCUCGGAUGGGGGCUCGCGUUUUCACACAAACCCCCCUUUUAAAAGUGUAGAAUGACCACAUUUAUGCAAUCAAUACAACUUUCAACAACGGAUCUCUUGGCUCUC
rnacentral:misc_RNA from 1 species